ACUGAAUAGAUACCCAGGUAGUCCAUGCUGUAAACGAUGAGAACUAGAUGUUAGGGGGCAUGACCUCUUAGUAUCGAAGCUAACGCGAUAAGUUCUCCGCCUGGGGAGUACGGCCGCAAGGUUAAAACUCAAAGAAAUUGACGGGGGCCCGCACAAGCGGUGGAGCAUGUGGUUUAAUUCGAUGCAACGCGAAGAACCUUACCUACCUUUGAAUCCACGGAACCUAGCAGAGAUGUUGGGGUGCCUUCGGGAGCCGUGAGACAGGUGCUGCAUGGCUGUCGUCAGCUCGUGUCGUGAGAUGUUGGGUUAAGUCCCGUAACGAGCGCAACCCUUGUCCUUAGUUGCCAUCAGGUUAUGCUGGGCACUUUAAGGAGACUGCCGGUGAUAAACCGGAGGAAGGUGGGGAUGACGUCAAGUCCUCAUGGCCCUUACAGGUAGGGCUACACACGUGCUACAAUGGGCAGUACAGAGGGAAGCCAACCCGCAGGGGGAGCGAAUCUCAUAAAGCUGUUCGUAGUCCGGAUUGGAGUCUGCAAC
rnacentral:rRNA from 1 species